rnacentral:rRNA from 1 species
UACGGGGGGAGCAAGCGCUGUUCGGAUUUAUUGGGCGUAAAGAGCUCGUAGGCGGUUUGUCGCGUCGGCCGUGAAAUCUCCACGCUUAACGUGGAGCGUGCGGUCGAUACGGGCAGACUUGAGUUCGGUAGGGGAGACUGGAAUUCCUGGUGUAGCGGUGAAAUGCGCAGAUAUCAGGAGGAACACCGGUGGCGAAGGCGGGUCUCUGGGCCGAUACUGACGCUGGAGGAGCGAAAGCGUGGGGAGCGAACGGG